GUGGGGAAUCUUAGACAAUGGGGGCAACCCUGAUCUAGCCAUGCCGCGUGAGUGAUGAAGGCCUUAGGGUCGUAAAGCUCUUUCGCCGGGGAAGAUAAUGACUGUACCCGGUAAAGAAACCCCGGCUAACUCCGUGCCAGCAGCCGCGGUAAUACGGAGGGGGUUAGCGUUGUUCGGAAUUACUGGGCGUAAAGCGCGCGUAGGCGGAUCGGAAAGUUGGGGGUGAAAUCCCGGGGCUCAACCCCGGAAUUGCCUUCAAAACUCCCGGUCUUGAGGUCGAGAGAGGUGAGUGGAAUUCCGAGUGUAGAGGUGAAAUUCGUAGAUAUUCGGAGGAACACCAGUGGCGAAGGCGGCUCACUGGCUCGAUACUGACGCUGAGGUGCGAAAGCGUGGGGAGCAAACAGGAUUAGAUACCCCAGUAGUCC
rnacentral:rRNA from 1 species